CUGUGAGCUGCCGAGUGCUAGGCACCCGGGCUCUUCUGGGGGCUCCAGAGGCGCCGCCCAAGAGACCCUGGGCCGGCGCCGGGCGCAGCUGCCUCUCCGUCUUUGUGUCUGUCUCUGUGUCUGUCUGGCUAUCUCCGAGUUUGCCUCCGCUUCCAGAACUAAGCCACCCAGACACCAUCAUCUCGAAAACCCCAGCCCUUCUCCCAUGGCAGAUUGAUCAGAUUUUGAUUCACCAGAAGGCUGAGCGAGUGGAAACGUUCCUAGGCUGGGAGACCUGUAAUCGGUAUGAACUGCGCUCUGGGGCCGGGCAGCCCCUGGGUCAGGCGGCCGAGGAGAGCAACUGCUGCGCCCGUCUGUGCUGUGGCGCCCGCCGGCCGCUGCGUGUCCGCCUGGCCGACCCCGGGGACCGUGAGGUGCUGCGUUUGCUCCGCCCGCUGCACUGUGGCUGCAGCUGCUGCCCCUGUGGCCUCCAGGAGAUGGAAGUACAGGCUCCACCAGGCACCACCAUUGGCCACGUGCUACAGACCUGGCAUCCCUUCCUCCCCAAGUUCUCCAUCCAGGAUGCCGAUCGCCAGACAGUCUU
rnacentral:lncRNA from 1 species